rnacentral:tRNA from 1 species
GGCUCCAUAAUUUAACGGAUAAAAUGCUUUCCUUCUAAGAAAGUUAUCUAGGUUCGAUUCCUAGUGGGGCUA